rnacentral:ncRNA from 1 species
UCCAGCUUCUUGAAUGGGAUCUCCAGCCGCCCAUCGAACUGUCUUCCUGGCUCAACUUCCCCUGAGCCAGGCCGGCGGCCGAUAGGCGCGGAUGGGGAUCCGAUUUAAGAAUCAGCAGGCA